GGAGAAAGUAACAUGGUGGCCGCGUCGUCCCCAGACAGGAGCGGCGGCGGGUCCGGUGGCUCCUGAGGAGGCGGCGGGCGCGGAGAAAAGCUCCAGGCCGGGAGCGCCGCGACCCUUGGAGCGGACGAGGGGAACCCGGUGGCGGCUGUCGGCGGGGCGAGCCGGCGGCAGGAAGUACUGACAUAACCAUGAUAGAAGACAAAGGUCCACGAGUGGCUGACUAUUUUGUAGUGGCAGGGCUCACUGAUACAGAUACUGCAACCCUCCUGGACCAAGAAAUAAGCCGACAUGAAACAAAGUCAACUGGUCCAAAGGCUCCAAUUACUGAUAUUGCUGUGAUAAUUAAAUCAGCUGGUGAAACUGUCCCAGAGGGAUACACCUGUGUUGAAGCCACCCCUACAGCCCUUCAAGCCAACUUAAACUAUGGAAGUCUAAAGAGUCCUGAACUUUUUCUUUGCUACAAGAGAGGCCGGGACAAACCACCUCUUACUGACAUCGGAGUUCUAUAUGAAGGGAAGGAACGCAUCAUUUCAGGCUGCGAGGUGAUUCAAGCUACUCCUUAUGGUCGUUGCGCUAAUGUUAACAACAGUUCAGCUUCUUCUCAGCGGAUCUUUAUCACAUAUCGAAGGGCUCCUCUAGUACGACCUCAAAAUUCAUUGGCAGUGACUGAUAUCUGUGUUAUUGUUACCAGCAAAGGAGAAACUCCUCCUCAUACAUUCUGCAAAGUGGAUAAGAAUUUAAAUUGUGGUAUGUGGGGUUCCAGUGUGUACCUUUGUUACAAGAAGUCUGUGCCAGCUUCUAACUCUUUAGCAUAUAAAGCUGGCUUAAUUUUCAGAUAUCCUCAAGAGAACUAUGAGUCAUUCCCACUAUCAGAAUCUGUACCUCUCUUCUGCCUUCCUAUGGGAGCUACUAUUGAGUGCUGGGACCCACAAACCAAAUAUCCACUACCAGUGUUCUCAACAUUUGUACUGACCUGCUCUUCUGCAGAAAAGGUUUAUGGUGCUGCUAUUCAGUUUUAUGAGCCUUAUCCCCGGGAGCUGCUAACAGAAAAACAGCAAUUGCAGCUGGGUCUCCUGACAGCUGUAGAGAGGAAAGUGGUUACUUCCAAGUCCAUCAAUUCCAACAAAUGCAUCUGCCUUCUCUCACACUGGCCUUUCUUUGAAGCAUUUCGAAAAUUUCUUAUGUUCAUCUACAAACUCUCUGUCUCUGGACCUCAUCCUCUUCCCAUUGAAAAGCACAUAUCCCAUUUUAUGCACAAUAUACCUUUCCCUUCACCACAAAGGCCAAGAAUUCUGGUGCAGCUUUCUGCCCAUGAUGCAUUAAUAUUGUCUCAGCCAGUUUCUACACCAUUGCCAUUGAGUGGAGCAAACUUUAGCACUCUGCUCAUGAAUCUUGGACCGGAAAACUGUGCCACUCUGUUGCUCUUUGUAUUACUAGAAGGCAAGAUCCUCCUCCAUUCUCUUAGACCAGCUGUGUUGACAGGAGUUGCUGAAGCUGUAGUAGCUAUGAUAUUUCCAUUUCAGUGGCAAUGUCCAUAUAUCCCUCUCUGUCCUUUGUCUCUGGCCACCGUACUCAGUGCACCUGUUCCAUUUAUUGUUGGAGUUGAUUCACGAUACUUUGAUCUGUAUGAUCCACCACAGGAUAUUGUGUGCAUUGACUUAGACACAAACAUGGUGUACAUAUCAGAUGAUAAGAAGAGCACCAACUGGAAGCAGUUUCCUAAGAAGCCUUGUAAAAGUUUGCUCAGCACCUUAAAGAAACUGCACCCACAGCUGGCAGCAGUUCACAGGAAAACUCAAGAAGGCUCUGCAGUGGAGAUGACUCCUAUUGAGGCAGAUUUUUCCUGGCAGAAGAAGAUGAUAGAACUUGAGAUGGAGAUCCAGGAAGCUUUUCUCCGUUUCAUGGCGUCUAUUUUAAAGGGUUACAGAACAUUCCUCAAGCCAAUCACGCAGGCACCUUCAAAUAAAGCAACUGCUGCUGAUUCCUUGUUUGAUCAUCAAGGAUUUUUAAAAAGCAGAGACCGUGCCUAUACAAAGUUCUACACACAUCUCACCAAAACACAGAUAUUCAGCCGCUUUAUUGAAGAGUGCAGUUUUGUGAGUGACAAGGAUACUGGCUUGGCAUUUUUUGAUGACUGCAUAGAAAAGCUUUUUCCAGAUAAAGGAACAGAAAAAGGAGAAAAGGUUGAUGUAGAUUCUGUUGAAGAUGCACUGUUGAUUGAGCUUGAUGAGUCACAAAAAAGUGAACACACAGUGUUCAUAAUGCCACCAGAACCUCCCGCUGAUGACGGACAGGAGCGAGUGCCAAAAUACAGCUAUAAAAACUUCCCACGACUAGAUUUCAAGCUCUUUGACAGGCCACAGGAGCUCAAGCUCUCCUUCAGCAGACACCCAGCUGGAAGCAGCAUUUCAAAUAGUCCAGCACUCAUGGCAAAGAGGACAAAACAGGAGAUAAAAACAGCUCAUAAAUUAGCCAAGAAGUAUUAUGUAAGCCCCCCACAAUGGGCUAAGUGUCUCUUCAGUCAUAGUUACAGCCUAUGGUUUAUUUGUCUGCCAGCCUACAUCAGAGUUGCACAUCCCAAGGUCAAAGCACUGCAACAGGCAUACGAUGUUCUAAUUAAAAUGAGGAAAACUGAUGUGGAACCACUAGAUGAGGUCUGCUACAGAGUUGUAAUGCAGCUCUGUGGACUGUGGGGUCAGCCUGUUCAGGCCGUGAGAGUCCUCUUUGAAAUGAAAAAUGCUGGAAUACAGCCAAAUGCCAUCACCUAUGGUUAUUACAAUAAGGCGGUAUUAGAGUCUCCUUGGCCUAGCAGUAACCGCAGUGGCAUAUUCCUGUGGACAAAGGUACGAAAUGUAGUUCGUGGCACAGCACAAUUUAGGCAGUGCUUAAAGAAAUCGACGCAGAGCCUACAAGUACCUGUGAUAUCAGCUCUGCGGAGUACCACGGGUGGAAGUGAUGGGGACAUGGUGAGCCAUGGUAGCGUGGAUAGUUCUAAUGAUGCUAACAGUGGGGAGCACACUGUCUUCGUCAGUGACUUAGUCAGGCUUGAUUCCAUUGAUAAUCACUCUAGCACAGGUGGUCAGUCAGACCAGGGCUACGGGUCAAAGGAUGAACUUUUAAGAGAUGAUGGAGAUAGUCUUCAUGCAACUGAAACACAAGUAGAGAAAGAUAUUUCUUCUAAAGCUGAAGACCUAAUAGGAGAGGUUUGUACUGAGAAAUCUGAUGAAAAGCAACAGCUGAAUAUAGAAACUCAUAGUCCAACAGAUGCACCUUCUUGGGGUAACAGCAUUGUGAAAGUUCCAUCUGGCAUUUUUGAUAGCAGUGGAAGGAAAAGCAGUGGUGAAACAGGUUCCAGCCCACUGUUCAUAACUCAGGAUUCAGCUGAAGAUGUAGUCUUUGGUGAUGUUUCUCCUAAGAAAACAAGUGAAAAAGGACAGAAGAGGCAGAAACUGUUUUCAGAGAGAAGCUGCAGUUUCAGCAGUGAAAGCAGAGCAGGAAUGCUGCUGAAAAAAGGCAGCUUGGACUUGCAUUCUAAAGAAAUAGCAAUAAUGAUGGGAGCAGAUGCCAAGAUUCUAACAGCAGCUUUAUCUGGGGCCAAAACUUCACCCUGUCAUUUGAAUAAAUCCCACAGCUUUGAAAGUAUUGUUGACCAGCAGGUUUCUGGCGUAAGUGGCACUUGGAGUUGUGUGACUGAGAGUGAUUGGGAAUCGGAGCAUAGGUCUUCACCGAUGCUGGAAGAACCUGGGGAAGGGCAGGAACAUCUUGAGAAUGGAAGAGAUGAAAACAUGGCCACAGUGGAAGACAUGAACCUUGAACAGUCAACUGAGUCAAAAAACCAGAAACCAGAAUCCAAAGAUGCAACUACUAAAAGGAAUAGCUUUUAUGGAGUGGUUAAGCCUAUUGAAAGGGAAGAUGUUGAAGUAGGCUUGGACCCUUUAUCUUUGCUGGCUACUGACAGCAUGCAACCAAGGCAUCCAGAACCUGAGGAAAAGUUGGUGUCACCAGUUGCAGCACGUAAUUUGGCAGAUGAAAUAGAGAGCUAUAUGAAUCUGAAGAACCCAUUGGGUAGUAAGUUUCCCAGCAUGGAACUGCACAAGCCAGAGAGGGAAACAGAAGCUUCUGGUACACUUGGUCACUCCCAAGAAAGGAGGUCAAGCCUGCCUUUGGAUCCCGUCCUGCCAUCCCCCAAGUCUUACGAAAAUCGGAGAAGUCCAUCUGUCUCCAGAUCCAAAACAUUCACUGGACGACCAAAGCAACAAACCUAUCCACGAGUUCAAAAGGAGCGGUCUUCAUCUUUGACAGGACUGGGUCGUUCUUCUCCACAUGGCUCGUUAGGAUCUGUUGUAACAACUUUAUCCAAUCUGAAGUUAGACAAUAUACUGUCUGGACCAAAAAUGGAUGUUCUGAAAUCAGGCAUGAAACAGGCUGCCAAUGUGGCCAGUAAGAUGUGGGGAGUUGUAACUUCAGCAUAUAGUUAUUCAGAUGAUGAGGAAGAAAACAAUCGAGCCGACUUUAACUUCCCUGCUGGUUUUGAAGAUAAUAUUUUAGGAGAUAAUCUGUCAUCAAGAACUGGUGUCCCGGGUCUAAUUACGAAUGAGCUUGCACAAAGCACUACUAGUCUAGGCAGUAGCAGUAGCAGUGGAGAUGCAGGAAGACAACAUUACAGUGGAGGUGAAGUUUCAUUCCCAAGAAGUAUGAAAGUUCUAGAUUCUGAGAAGUCAGAGCACAGCUCUUCACAUAAUACUAGUUUAUCCAGCAUUUUCCAGAACUAUGCAAUGGAGGUAUUGAUGUCAAGCUGCUCUCAAUGUAGAACUUGUGAUGCUUUGGUUUAUGAUGAAGAAAUUAUGGCUGGAUGGACAGCAGAUGAUUCAAACUUGAACACCAUCUGUCCUUUCUGUAAAAGUACCUUCCUACCUUUACUUAAUGUUGAAUUUAAAGACCUACGUGGCUCUGCAAGCUUUUUUCUGAAGCAAAGUACCUCAGGAGAUAGUUUACAGAGUGGUACCCUUCCAUUAACCAUGGAUCCCCUGGAGCAGAAACUGUCAUCCAGCCCAGCUGUUGCUGACUUGAUCAGUUUUUCAGAUCACGCACAGUCCAGCCACACCAUAGCUGAAGAAACUAGCUCUGCAGCUGAGCAGAGUGAUGUGGCAGAAGAUCAGAGUAAAGAUCCCAGAACAAUGAAGACAUCUGCCAAUAAUCCACCAAAAAGGGGAGUGUCCUUGACUCGGAGCCACAGUGUUGGAGGUCCACUGCAAAACAUUGAUCUUUCCCAGAGACCAUCUCAUGGCAUUUCAACAGUUAGUCUUCCAAAUAGUUUGCAAGAAGUUGUGGAUCCUUUAAGAAAAAGACCUAACCCUCUUGCUGUAUCUGUGCCCUACUUGAGUCCUUUGGUACUGCGUAAGGAGCUUGAAUCGCUGUUGGAAAAUGAGGGAGAGCAAGUAAUUCAUACACCCAAAUUCAUCAAUCAGCACCCCAUAAUUUUCUGGAACCUAGUUUGGUAUUUCCGACGGUUGGAUCUACCUAGCAACUUACCUGGACUCAUUCUAACAUCUGAACACUGUAAUGACGGGGUGCAGCUUCCUUUGACAUCUCUUGCUCAAGACAGCAAGCUAGUCUACAUCCAUCUUCUGUGGGACAAUAUCAACCUCCACCAAGAGCCAGGGGAGCCCCUAUACAUAUCUUGGAGGAAUCUCAAUUCUUCUGAAAAGACACCCGCCACAGUGGCAGAAGAUCAGCAGGCAACAAAGACUUUGUUGGAGAACAUCAAACUAAGUAUUCAACACAAUAAUGUUGUUAAACCAAUCAACCUCCUUCUACAGAAAGUUAAGCCAGAUGUGAAACGGCAGAGGUAAACGGGAGUUUUUACAGAGAAAUUCUUUUCCUGUCACUGGUGUCCCUUGGAAGAGAGAACAUUGACAUUGAGGUCUUUGAUAGUGAAUACAGGCUUGCACAUAAAAAUCUACCAAAGGAUGUUCUUGAAAAGAUGCAAAAGAUAGAUGCUCCACCAAGCAGCAGGGUUGAGUGCUGUCGCAAGUGCUUUGGAGCACCUUUAAUAUAAAAAUGAGAAAGACACACACUAAACUUCAGUGAGACAAAAGCAGAGGUGAACAAACCAGGAGCAUCAUGAGAUAUACACUUUGAAUCCCAAAAGGUGAUAAUUAAGCAAUUUGUCAAAGCAAUUUCAUUGAGCUACAACAUAUAUUCUUGUCUUUCGUCUCAUGAGACACAGUGUAAAGCACGUUAAAAUGUUUUAAAACUAUAUUAAUAGGGUGAGUUGGUUUCAGUGAUUGAUCUGCUUUUUUUCCUUGUAUAUACUUCUCCUUUUCCUUCCUCAAAUCUUUCCCCCACAAUAUCAAGUUGUUCAAAAAGGCUGAUGAACAGCAGCCUGUAGUUGGUGACUUUCUUAAGGGCCACCAAUAUUGGUGUAUUUUAAUGAACUCACUUUCCUACCACAGAAUACAUAAGAUCCUUCACUACUUCUUUAAAAUUACCUUUACCUAAAGAGGAAUCUUUUUACUGGUGUGCAGUAUGUAUGCAAGAAUGUAAAUAUUUGAGUCCUUGGAUUGGAAGUUGCAACAAUGCAGUUGCUUUUGUCAGAUCACAGUACCUAAAAUUGCUACCCUUUGCCUUGUCCCAAUCAGUAUUCUAAAUUAUCUUUGGCUGACCUUUUCAUAAUGUAUGUCUAUAGUUGUAAAAACCAGAAACUUAAACUCAGUUUUCCUGUAUUCUUUGACAAAUUAAAGAUCUUAUGAAUGUUGCCGCUUUCUCCAGAAGAAUGAUAGGCUUCUACAGUAAGCAGCUCAGAAAUGGCUGGCUUUCUAAGAAUGAGAUAAGAAGAUUAAAUGGCAUUAGGAUACAUAAAACAUUCGUGAAACAGAUACUGUCUGAAAAAAUCAUGCUUUAUACUGUAUGCAUGUGUGCUUAAAAAGUGUCUUUUCCUUGAAUUCUUUAUCACCUUUUCCCAUGGUUUCAUGCUAGCCUGUGGGUUAAUUAUUUUGCACUGAUAGUUCAAAUUCAAUAUUUCAAUUAAAAUGUACUUAUAAAUGUGGUCUUCAAGGUGUAUAUUAGCACAAAUGAAGUGCUUGAGUGUAUGAUCUGAAAAGAUGAAUCCAUCUUUUGGAUUGCUUCUAGUAGAUAAGACACUUCCUCACCUUACAUAUCUCAUUGACUACAGUAGUCAUAGUCUUUGCAAGAAGAGCCUGGAUACUGGUCAACAGGUUAAAUGUUGCUGUUACUUGAGGAAUAUGAUGAGAUUGAUUCCAGGUUUUUUGCUGAAAUUUAGUGGUGUGCCUUUUCUGAUGGAAUUAUUCUUAGAGAAAAAAAAGUUAAGAUUUGUAGCAUGUUAAAGGAGCAUAGCUAAAACUAUAAUCACAUUUGAGUAUGAAUGUAUUUACUUCGUACUACUCUCUUAAAAAUUUUCGUUCUUGAAAAUGAUGAGGGAUGAAGAUCUGUCUGGAACAGCUUCUACAUGAAACAACAAAACCAACUUUUGUUUUUUCAUGAGGCUAAAGCAAAGGAUUUGCACUAUUUGUGAGAAAAUACAUUUGCAUCAUAGACUGAUUCCUUGUAUUUUGUCUAAAAGUGCUGAUCCUAAGUUAAUAUGGGGAUAUUGCCUGGACAGAUUCUCUCCUGAUGAAAAUAUUGUGCUUGCUCAAUAAUUAAAAGCAAGAAAGCACACACUGGCUUUUUUUUUCAUUCUUUAUUCUUUGAGUUUAUGCAUGGUUGGUUGCAGAUAUAUGACCUACAUCACAAUGGAAGAGUAGAGCUUGAUUCUUCACAUUUUCCUCUCUUCUCCUAUUACAUAAUUGACAUGCGCCGUUCCAUCCUUUUAAGGUAAAAGUCUUGCUGAAGCAUUUGUCCAAACAACUUAAUACUUCUACAAAUCAAAAUGGCAAAAUUUUCUGUAUAAAGCUAUACUGAUCUUAACACUCAAAAAUUAUCUUUGUAUAGCUGUAUGUUUAAAUGGACAAACUUAUGAUUAUGUGAUGCAACUUGCAAGGAAUCAAGUUUUCGUUACCUGUAAAUUCUCCCAGCUCAUUAAAUUACAAAGAAAAUCUAUCCAGCGAGUGCUGUUUUAGAGAAUUGAUGACAUCCAAAUUGUUUUAAACCACUGUAAAUUAUAUUAUUAUGAACUAAAUUCUGUAAGCAGAUCACUUUCUUUUCAAAACAACCUUCCCAUCUGUUGCUUAAAAUACAGAUUAAUCAGGCAGUAGUGUUGUAGAAACAGCAAAGCAGAUUGUGUCACAGCAUCUAGUGCUAAAUGUUAGACUUUCCCCAGGUAUAUACACUAAACAAAAAAACCCCUAAAGCCUGAGGGGAAAAGGACAGCUAUAGGAUUGAACUUGCUUUGAUUUGCUCCUGUAUAUUGGCAUUUCUGUACACUACAAAUUAACUUCUAUUCCUGUUGCAUGUACCUGGACUUCAGAGUGGUAGAAGUUCUGCAUGCAAUUACUUGAAAUCUUGAAUCUGCCUAUUGAAAUUAAUUCUUUAAUAUAGAAUGACAAAAGUAAGCGCUCACUCUUUUUAAUUUUGGGCUUUUUUUAAUGCCUAGUUUUUAAUGGCUAACUAAUCAGCUGGUUCUUAAAUGAAAUCCAUAGUUAAAUGCAAAGAGAGAUCUCUGGAAGUGAUUUGUUUAUUAAGGUUUCAUCUAAGAAGAUGCUUUUUUGGGGAAAAAAAAGAGUUCACAAAAAUUGGAAAGGAAUUAAGAACUGAGUGGUUUUUUCCUGGUUGCUUUCUCUCCUUUCAAACGCAUGAUGGCACUUCCUGUUCUUCCUUUGACUUUUAGGUCUCCUCCUACAAACAGGUAGAGACUGCAGUUUUUUCCUACACAAACUUUCUGAGAUGUAGGCUUCCCUAAUUUGAAUGCUGAAAGAACUGGUGAGCAUGCCUAAGAGAAGGGCACGGCAUAAAACAGUUCAGCAUGGCUCAAUACUCAUAUGGUUGAAUAUCUGGCCAAAAAUAAACAGGGAAAAGUCUUCAAAAAUUUUUUUGUGAGUGCAUUGCAAACACUUUUGUCUUUCUGAAAAUUGGGCACUAAAGGGGUAAUAAGUUCUUCUCUGCAAGUUAGUAGUAACAGCAUGAACUUUUUAGGCUGCACGGAAAUGACUUAGUUACCUACAAAUGCUUCUACUUUGUUUGACACCCCACUCCUAGUAAUCCAAAUUUACUUGAAUCCCUAAUGCAUGAAUGAGCUGGACAAAGAGUUGUGAAGGAGGAGUGUGGAUAAGCUUGAUCUUUGUUCUGUUUUCCUUUCAGUGUAAGCAGAAAAAGUAUUAUUUUGCUCACUUGCAAAACUCUUCCCUCCAAGUACUCCUUUUAGCAGCUCAACAGCCAGUGUUCAGGAGGAGAUGGCUCUUCUGUGUGUAUUUUGGAAUUCUCACAUAUAAACGUGAAGAAAAUGGCUGCAGAUCAGUAUUAACUUCAAAACCUGCAGUGUGUGCACAAAGUGAGGGUAUAAACCAAGCUGAUUACAUACGUGGAUGCAAACUGUUAAUGAAUUUCCGGUAAGCCCAAGAACUUUGAAAGUUUGUGUUGGAAUAAUAAUUAUCACACAGAAGCUUCCUUGAAUUGUUGCCCUAAGGAUGUUGAACUGCAGUCAGUUAUGCUGAGGAGAUACUAUCUUGCACCUUUCACCAGCUAUAAAAGUUACAUACAGCUUGUGUGCUUACAUCAAAAUAGCUAUUUUUUGUAGAAUUAAAACAACAAAUGGGGUCUUAAAGGUUUAAAAUCAGGAUUCUUAAGUGACAAAGUUUUUCUUUAUGAAUUACAAAUGUAUUCUGGCACACAACAACUUCCAAAACCCCAUAGGUAGAGGAUACUGUUGUGGCUGCAGUAUUGGCACAGUAAUAGGUACCAGCUUUUACAUGUUACUAGAUGCAUCUGUAUGUUACAUAUAGUCAUAUCCUGUCUUCACAUUUUAUAUAACUCAAGUUUAGACGAUACAAUUUUAAUGGAAAAUAUUUUAUUUAGUAUAUAUGUUUCAAACUAAAUUCAUUUUUUUGCAAGUAACUUAGUCUUGUUCCUAGUGAAAUUUCACAGUGGUUAAGCUCAAGCUACAUUGCACUUGUGAAUGAGUAAUUUUAUUCCAUUUUAACUGUGAAUUAAUGGCUUUUGUAUUGCUGCAGCUAGAAGAAUAUACCUUUCAUUGAGUUUACUGCUUUUCUUGAAUAACUGCAACAUAGGGGAUAUUUUCAAAAUGUAUAUUAAAUUAGAUCAUAGAAAUUAUAUUUUUAAAACAAAUUGUUAAAAUGUAAGUAACUGAAGAAUUCACUCAGUAGUUUUCUCUUUUUAAAACUCUUAAUUCAACAAUUGUUUCAAUGCAGAUAACUUUAUUUCACUAAAUAAAGGUCGUCUUAUUCAUAUAAUUGUACAUUUUCAACAAAGGUUUUUUUCUUUCAACUAAUAAAAGCCUUAAGGUGCCUUCUGUAUAUCAGCUUUUCAUUAUGGACCUUUUUAAAAAACAAAACACACACCCUUGUGACUUUUAAGUCUUGAAACUAAAUGGUUGAAUUGGACUCUAGUUCUGUAUUUUACUGUGCUGUAUAUUGUGAUGCAUACGAGGAGAGAAACGGAUGGGAUUUUUAUUUGUUCUUUCAGUCUGCAUCAAUCAAUGGUGCAAAUAAAAGGGAUUGUUUGCUGUUUUUAGAAGCACAUUAAACUCCUUUCAGGAGCUUAAAAUAAACUAUUGUAAUGAGGAUGAAAGGAUGUAGUGUGAAUAAAUUAUGAAUUUAUUAAGUGAGCUGGGAAGUUUUCUUUAAUGCAAUAAAAUUUGCACUGGUUUAGAGACUGUUUUGAACUGUUGAAAAAUGGCAUCCAUUUACUGUGCUUUGAUUAACAAGUGUUUCUCUGUAAUGUUUUUGUACAUUUGACAAAUGUUUCUUGAGUUUAAAAGGGCACUCUGCAUAUUCUGAAUUAUGUAUAGAUAUCCUAGACUAGGAAACAAUUUUUAAUGUAUUUCCCAAAAUAAAACAUGUAUGCAUCCUGUGUAAAAAUUUCAAA